UAUCUUUGCAGCCGCAUUAAAGAACGAGUCUUUAAUGUGAAGUCAGAAAACCUGACGUACAUAAUAUUCAUUAUCAAAAUAAUUUUGGCAUG
rnacentral:ncRNA from 1 species